GCCCCCCGGCCCGGCAGACACAUCCAAGCUUCCAGCCCGCUGCAGCCCGCUGUGACCGUGGAGCGAACAUCUUCUUACUUUGGCAACAUGGGAGACAUGGGGGACCCACCCAAAAAGAAGCGGCUGGUGUCUCUGUGUGUGGGCUGCGGGAACCAGAUCCACGACCAGUACAUCCUCCGGGUGUCCCCAGACCUAGAGUGGCACGCCGCUUGCCUCAAGUGCGCCGAGUGUAGUCAGUACUUGGAUGAGUCCUGUACUUGCUUCGUCAGGGAUGGAAAGACUUACUGUAAGCGGGACUACAUCAGGUUAUACGGGAUCAAAUGCGCCAAGUGCAACAUCGGCUUCAGCAAGAACGACUUCGUGAUGAGGGCCCGGUCCAAAGUCUACCACAUCGAAUGCUUCCGGUGCGUGGCGUGCAGCAGGCAGCUCAUCCCGGGAGACGAGUUCGCUCUGCGGGAGGACGGACUCUUCUGCCGGGCCGACCACGACGUGGUGGAGCGGGCCACGCUGGGCCACGGAGACCCGCUCAGUCCGCUGCACCCCGCCAGACCCUUGCAGAUGGCAGAACCGAUCUCGGCGCGGCAGUCCGCCCUGCGGCCUCACAUCCACAAGCAGCCCGAGAAGACCACCAGGGUCCGGACGGUUCUGAACGAGAAGCAGCUGCACACGUUGCGGACCUGCUACAACGCCAACCCGCGGCCGGACGCGCUGAUGAAGGAGCAGCUGGUGGAGAUGACCGGCCUCAGUCCGCGGGUCAUCCGGGUGUGGUUCCAGAACAAGCGCUGCAAAGACAAGAAGAGGAGCCUGCUGAUGAAGCAGCUCCAGCAGCAGCAGCCCAACGACAAGACGAACAUCCAGGGCAUGACCGGCACCCCGAUGGUGGCCGCCAGCCCGGAGCGCCACGACGGGGGCCUGCAGGCCAACCCCGUAGAGGUGCAGAGCUACCAGCCCCCCUGGAAAGUCCUCAGCGACUUUGCUCUGCAAAGCGACAUCGACCAACCCGCUUUUCAACAACUGGUGACUUUUUCGGAGGGCGGCCCGGGUUCAAACUCGACGGGCAGCGAGGUGGCAUCCAUGUCGUCUCAGCUUCCGGACACACCCAACAGCAUGGUGUCCAGUCCCAUCGAGGCUUGAGCUCCACCAGCUGCAUUGGACCGAAGCUCCUCAUGUUCCUGUCACUGCUUGUAUCUUUGACACUGUGAAGACAAUCAUGGGAUUUUACCACCAACAAAGUCCAUGCAGAAGAAGACACCGACUUGCCUGCUCGACUGUUUUUGCCAAAAGAGAAGACAAAAAGGGGGACAUUUGACACUUUGGACCUGCGAGACUUUGCAAAAUGAACUUUUCUUCUUUCUUCUUUUGACUCCCAUCAAGCAUUUGCAACAAGGUAUACCUCUUUUUUCACACAAGCUUCGUGGGACUUUUCCUGAGUCCUUGUCUCAGGAUUCGGUGGACCUAUUUGGGAAGACCUGGACUUUGUGUGCCUCCGUUGGUCAGUAGAGGCGCUUUCAAGAUGGAACUACUAAUGCUACACCUCAACGAAUAAGACGCUUCAGUACAGCUUGUUUUUUUAUUGGCCCAUACUUUAUUAUGAAAAGUAAAUCUUAAAAAAACCUAUAAAAAAAACCUAUGACACAAAGUUUAUAAAUAAACAAACUUUUUCAGUGCUUUGGUUCCAAUUUUCUACAAGAAAAGCUCUGAUAAAAUAUUCCACUGUUCUCAAAUAUCUUAAUUUUUAUUUUUCUGCACAAAAUACGAUGAAAAAUAAAUAAACAAACCAAGAAUAAAGAAAAUCAAUCAAUCAGUAAUAAAUAAAUAUAAUAAUAAUAAUAAUAACAUGGCAAAUAAUAAACCCUAACCUGAACCCCAAUGCUAAUCCGAACCUGGUAUGAUAGCGGUAACCCUAACCCUAACUUGGUAUGAUAGCCAAAACCCUAACCCCAAUGCUAACCCUAACCUGGUAUGAUAGCGGUAAUCCUAACCCCAAUGCUAACCCUAACCUGGUAUGAUAGUGGUAACCCUAACCCCAAUGCUAACCCUAACCUGGUAUGAUAGUAGUAACCCCAAUGCUAACCCGAACCUGGUAUGAUAGCCAUAACCCUAACCCCAAUGCUAACCCUAACCUGGUAUGAUAGCGGUAACCCUAACCCCAAUGCUAACCCUAACCUGGUAUGAUAGUGGUAACCCCAAUGCUAUCCCCAAUGCUAACCCUAACCUGGUAUGAUAGCGGUAAUCCUAACCCCAAUGCUAACCCUAACCUGGGAUGAUAGCGGUAACCCUAACCUGAGCCCCAAUGCUAACCCUAAUCUGGUAUGAUAGCGGUAACCCCAAUGCUAACCCUAACCUGGUAUGAUAGCGGUAACCCUAACCCCAAUGCCAACCCUAACCUGGUAUGAUAGUGGUAACCCCAAUGCUAACCCCAAUGCUAACCCUAACCUGGUAUGAUAGCGGUAAUCCUAACCCCAAUGCUAACCCGAACCUGGUAUGAUAGCCAUAACUCUAACCCCAAUGCUAACCCUAACCUGGUAUGAUAGCGGUAACCCUAACAACAAUGCUAACCCUAACCUGGUAUGAUAGCUGUAACUCUAACCCUAAUGCUAACCCUAACCUGGUAUGAUAGCGGUAACCCUAACCUGAACCCCAAUGCUAACCCUAAUCUGGUAUGAUAGCGGUAACCCCAAUGCUAACCCUAACCUGGUAUGAUAGCGGUAACCCUAACAACAAUGCUAACCCUAACCUGGUAUGAUAGCGGUAACCCUAACCCCAAUGCUAACCCUAACCUGGUAUGAUAGCGGUAACCAUAACCCCAAUGCUAACCCCAAUGCUAAUCCUAACCUGGUAUGAUAGCGAUAUCCCUAACGCGAACACCAAUGCUAACCCUAACCUGGUAUGAUAGCAGUAACCCUAACCCCAAUGCUAACCCUAACCUGGUAUGGUAGCGGUAACCCUAACCCCAAUGCUAACCCCAAUGCUAACCCUAACCUGGUAUGAUAGCGGUAACCCUAACCCCAAUGCUAACCCCAAUGCUAACCCUAAACUGGUAUGAUAGCGGUAACCCUAACAACAAUGCUAACCCUAACCUGGUAUGAUAGCGAUAACCCUAACCCCAAUGCUAACCCCAAUGCUAACCCCAAUGCUAACCCUAACCUGGUAUGAUAGCAGUAACCCUAACCCCAAUGCUAACCCCAAUGCUAACCCCAAUGCUAGCCCUAACCUGGUAUGAUAGCGGUGUCCAUCUGUAGCAUUGACACCACAUGACGCUGUGCUCCAGCCUCCCAGAUGAGGGUUUGCGUUCCCAAACCGUAGCGUACUUAGCAGAGCCGUAUUGCUUCACACUCCACAUGACAGCAAGGCUGCUGGAGGUUUUUGUGUUUUUAGGGAUAUGAUGGCAGAUAAUCUUAGUGUUUGGCAGCCGGCGAUUCUAUUUCAAUGCAAAACAUGACAGCGCCGUUGCUGAAACCCACUCAGACUGAUGUGUUGCUGCCAUGGCCGCCUCUCUCCAUGUGACAAUGAUAACACACUUGGCUUUAAAGCACUUAGACAUCCACGGCACGAGAGUUUUGACCUUCCUUGUUUGGAAAGGUUGGCUUGCGUGUGCUCAGGGUCGCCCGUGAAAUUGGUACAAAAACACUGGAAACAAAAGCAAGCUUGACUGGAAAAUAAUUGAAAAGACUCUUAACUGAUGCACAUAUCACAGAAUGAUCAAGACCUGUGUAUUGUUCAUAUUUGUUUUUGGAUUAUUAAUCAUCAUAAUAAUCAAACGGGAAUAGUUAUUCAUAUCAUCUUUAUAUGUCAUCAUGGUGCCCUUUAAUGGGUCUGGUUUUACGUGGAAAAACCUGGGAUCCAGAUGAAAUAAGGCUGUCCUGGUAGCGCCACCUGAGGCAAUCGGGUAAAAACAACACAGUUGCUGACUAUGCUUCCAACUCCCUUGACAUCACCAACUUUUGUCUUCAUAUGUCAUCAUGGUGCCCUUUAAUGGGUCUGGUUUUACGUGGAAAAACCUGGAAUCCAGAUGAAAUAAGGCUGUCCUGGUAGCACCACCUGAGGCAACCUGGUAAAAACACAGUUGCUGACUAUGCUUCCAACUCCCUCGACAUCAUCAACUUUUCUCAUAUCUUGUAUGUUAAAACCACCAAUCAAACGUGGAAAAACCUGGGAUCCAUUUGAGAUAAGGCUGUCCUUGUAGCGCCACCUGAGCCAACCUGGUAAAAACAACACAGUUGCGAACUAUGCUUCCAACUCCCUUGACAUCAUCAACUUUUGUCUUCAUAUGUCAUCAUGGUGCCCUUUAAUGGGUCUGGUUUUACGUGGAAAAACCUGGGAUCCAGAUGAUAUAAGACUGUAGCGCCACCUGAGGCAACCUGGUAAAAACAACACAGUUGCUGACUAUGCUUCCAACUCCCUUGACAUUAUCAACUUUUGUCUUCAUAUGUCAUCAUGGUGCCCUUUAAUGGGUCUGGUUUUACGUGGAAAAACCUGGGAUCCAGAUGAAAUAAGGCUGUCCUGGUAGCGCCACCCGAGGUAACCUGGUAAAAACAACACAGAUGCUGACUAUGCUUCCAACUCCCUUGACAUCAUCAACCUUUGUCAUAUCUUGUAUGUUAAAACCACCAAUCAAAAAAUGGCAAAAAACUCUCCAAACCAAAACAAAAAAUACCUGUGUGUUGUUCAUAUUUGUUUUUAGGAUUAUUAAUCAUCAUAAUAAUCAAAAGGAAAUAGUUAUUUAUAUCAUCUUCAUAUGAUCUUCAUCUUCAAUGGGUCUGGUUUUACGUGGAAAAACCUGGGAUCCAGAUAAUAUAAGGCUGUCCUGGUAGGGCCACCUGAGGCAACCUGGUAAAAACAACACAGUUGCUGACUAUGCUUCCAACUCCCUUGACAUCAUCAACUUUUGUCAUAUCUUGUAUGUUAAAACCACCAAUCAAAAAAUGACAAAAAACUCUCCAAACCAAAACAAACAAAAAAAACCAGUUCUUGGUAGGACUCCUCCGUUCUUGUUAACCACUGCAAACAUUCGUUAGGGCAUGCCUGCUAUGAGUGUUUCCAGGAGGCUAUUGAGAACAUUGCUGGUGGUGAAGAUGGCUUCACCAAGGGAUCAACUGUCUGGACCUGACGGCCAUUUUUAUAAACUUUCCAUACCCAAAUGUUCUCUAUGGGAUUUAAAUCCGAGGGAUGCCCGCUGCAACAUCUGCAUGUAACCGUUCGCCGUUUGACGACCCUGCACAACCUGAAGCUCCAUUGAAUGUGCCGGGUGGAAAACAUCUCAGGUGGGAUCUCGUCAUCGUGCCAGUAACGUUGAAAACCAUCUGGAGGUUACGUCAAGGUUACAUUUCUCCUCAUCAGAGAAUAAAACCUUUUUCCACCUUUCAAUGUCCCGUGUUUGAUGCUCCCUGGAAAAAUCCAAACAGGCAAGUCUUGGAAUUUGUUUUUGAAACCCUUUUCCCGCAGAUGCCGUCUGAUGGAUGGAGGACGGCCCUGUGUCUACCGCUUAUCCUCACGAGGGUCGCAGGGGUGCUGGAGCCUAUCCCAGCUGUCUUCGGGCAAGCCAGCCAAUCCCAGGGCACAUAUAGACAAACAACCAUUCACACUCACAUUCAUACCUAUGGACAAUUUGGAGUCGCUAAUUAACCUAGCAUGUUUUUGGAAUGUAGGAAGAAAUCGGAGUACCUGGAGAAAACCCACGGGGAGAACAUGCAAACUCCACACAGAGAUGGCCGAUGGCGGGAUUGAACUCGGGUCUCCUAGCUGUGAGGUCUGCGCGCUAACCACUUGUCCACCGUGCAGCCUCCAAUCAGAUCAGUGCAGGUUUUUUUUUUUGGGGUCUACCACUUUUUUGCACCGUAAUGCUCCGGAUCGUUCCAAAAAUGUAGAAUGCGUCCAACCAACCUCAGCAGCAAUGUCUAUGCUAGCUAUGAGAGGCCUUGCUUAUGCAACGCCACAAUCCGAUUACAUUCAUAUUUUUUUAUUUCAUGUCCCAAAUAUCUAAUUUUUUGUCUAAAUGAAGAAUCUAGCAAAAGAUUUUGAUGGGUUCCGUAUAUCUAUAUAUACUAUUUCUACAAGAUGCGUCUCAAUGGAUGCGGAUCGAUGACAGAAGAAUGGCGAGUCCGGACUUUUGACAGGGUUUUUGAGAAACCACGAUGAAUGAUACGCUGCGCUGUGAGAAACGCUGCUCAAUGCAAGGCCUCAUUGGAUGAUUGUAGGGAUCUUGAAGAACCACUUUUCUCCAGCUCUUGAUGUGGAUGCAAGCUUCGGCUCUCAAAUGAUGAAUGGGCUCCUUCACUAUAGCAAAUGUGUAAUGAUCCAUUGGCAGCCAUGACAACUGGAGGUACAAAGGUCGGGGGUGAAAAAGAGAGAGAGAGAGCUGAGAGCGCCGCUGUGUUCUCAUCCUUGUUUUUCAUCUGGAUCUUUAAUGCACCGAUCGCUACAUCGAUACAACCGUAGUCCCGAACCCACACAAUGAAAUAUCAUACCAGUUUAUAAAACAUAUAUUAUUAUUUGCAUAAAGUAAUCAUUGACGAAUGAUUGCCGUGAUUAAUGACAACAUCGAUUACGAAAACCAACUUCCUAAUUGACAAGACAUGAAAUCAAUCCAAAAAUGUUGUAACUACAGUAAACCUCGGAUAUAUCGGACUCGGAUAUAUCGGAUAUACCGAAUGGAAUCUUUCCGAAUGAGCUUUCCGAAUGCAAUGGUAUCCAUGGAAAGGAAUAUUCCAAUGGCGUGUCUACAUGUGCCCCUAUAAUCAACCAGAAUAGACAAUGGGGCAUGCCCAGUAAAACGUAAACACCAACAUCACGUAAUACCGACUUGUUGGAAUAACUCCGUAUUGCCAGUUUUUCCUUCGUCCGGUCUUGAAAUUUAGUUUGAAUCAAAAACGAACUUUUUUUCCUCGAUUGCUGGCCUCCAUUUUUUUAAAAUGGAAGAACGUCUGGAUCUGCGUGUUACGUCAUAUCUCAGCAUUGGCUGAAAGAACGCACCCGGGAACAGGAAAAGAUAAAGUUCAAUCUCGCUAAUAUUUUAUAAUGAAGCCGGGCACAUGUUUUAUAUAGAUAUGUAUUUUCAUUUUGGAAUAAAAGUGGACUUGUGAAUGGCGUAUAGAAGGGUAAACCUCGGAUAUAUCGCACUCGGAUAUAUCGUAAAUUCGCUCACAACGGACAGAUAAAAAAGAACCGAUUUUUCUGUAAUGCAUUUCCAAUAAAAAUUCAUUGCAUAUAUAGGAUUUUUUAUAACGGAUUUCGCCUAUUUCGGACAAAAUCUCCAGUCCCGUUCCAAUGCAUUUCCAUGAAAUUUCCCUGGCAUAUAUCGGAUGGCCGCAUCGUGGCGCUCCGAUUCGCCGAAUCGUGACAGGCCGCUAUACGACGUCAUUUGCAGCGUUUGCAGCGUUGCCUGCACAACUUUUUUCCGGUUAUUUCAAAAGGUUGUACCUUGAAAAUGUUUACAGAUAAAGACAUACCGUAAAUGAUAAAAAUCAUAAGUAUGACCAAAUGUAAUAAGCACAAAUGUACUCAUAUAAUGUACAUAUUAUGACAUCACCGGGUCAGAAUUUAAUCUGUGAGCUCCCUGUCUCCAUGGUACCAGCUCAUCAAAAUGUCUGAUCCACUUGUGGUUCUCUUCCUCAUCUCUCAAGCAAACCCAGCAAUCACCAUCAUUAUUUACAGCGGAAUCUUGAACACCACUGCUGCCUCAACAGCUGUCAUUACUUCUAUUAGAUAGAUAUAUAUAUUAUCUAUCUACAGUAAACCUCGGAUAUAUCGGACUCGGAUAUAUCGGAAAUUCGCUCACAACGGACAGAUAAAAAAAGAACCGAUUUUUCUGUAAUGCAUUUCCAAUAAAAAUUCAUUGCAUAUAUCGGAUUUUUUAUAACGGAUUUCGCCUAUUUCGGACAAAAUCUCCAGUCCCGUUCCAAUGCAUUUCCAUGAAAUUUCCCUGGCAUAUAUCGGAUGGCCGCAUCGUGGCGCUCCGAUUCGCCGAAUGGUGACAGGCCGCUAUACGACGUCAUUUGCAGCGUUUGCAGCGUUGCCUGCGCGUCCAGGUACAUUGGAAACAUAGUCAAUGAAGUGCCUUUUUAUAACGGAUAAAAUCCCAUUUACCGGAUAUAAAUCCGAUAUAUGCGUAAAACGGACAUUUUCCGGUAUACGCAAAUAACGGAUUUCGCUUAUAUCGGACAAAACCAGUGGGAACAAUUGAAUCCGAUAUAUCCCAGGUUUACUGUACAACAGCUCGGUGUGUUUUUAAAAUUGGAAUAAAAGUUGCAGUCGCAGACAGAUUGCCGCUGGGAGUAUUCCCGCUGGGAAUAAUAGGUGCAGCACAGUGCCGGCACCAGCCGCUUCCCCGGAACGUGAGUGUCAGCUUAAUUGCAGCUUUUAGGAUCAUUAUUGCUCGCAUGUGAAUGUCAAAAUGGACAAGGCUAGCGGGUCUUUGACAAACAGGCAAGCACCUCCCAGCACCCUGUAUAGUCUCAAGGGGCAGACCUAUAGGUAGAAGAAAAAUACAAACGCAGAAACAAAAACAGCUUCUUGACUGUUUUUAUUUUUUUGCCUUUCAGUCACCAUACAUUUAGUUACAUUUUAUAUUGUCUAUAAAACAAGACAAGUGUUUGAAUCCCUCGUUUAUCAUGGUUAAUUACUUCCAGAUCUGACUGUGAUACAGUUUUUUCUCGAUUGUUUACACACAAUUUGUGAUGCCUGAGACCCAAUCACCACAACAUAGAACCAAUGCACCAACUCCAUGAACCAAGUCUGCUAAACUAGAAGCACAAUUCCUGCUUUACACUCACACUGCAGAUCUACAACACACUUUUUUCAAAAACACUACACACAAUUCUCUGAGUUUUGGCACAAUUUUCAUGAAGUAAACUUCUCGUUUUCACAAAGAACACAAUGCCACUCAAAACAGUCAAAUGAAUAUUCCUAUUAUUUAUACAAUCCAAUCCAAUCCAAUCCACUUUAUUUAUAUAGCACAUUUUAUAAACAGAGUUUCCAAAGUGCUGCACAGACGAGUAAAAAUAAAAAGUAAUAAUCCAAAACUAAAAGAGCAUUUAAGAAAUAAAUUAAUAAAAUAGAUAUUAAAAUAUUAAAAACAAGAAACAAAGCAAUAAAAGUAUAAAAAAUAGAACCAAUUACAAUAAAAACAAAGAACUAAAAGACACAGGACCAUACGACUCACUCUGAGUUAAAAGCCAGAGAAUAAAAGUGGGUUUUAAGACGAGACUUAUUGGGGGCCUUUUUUACUUGGGAGGGGCGGAGAGUUCCAUAGUUUGGGGCCGACCACAGAAAAGGCUCGGUCCCCCCUGGUCUUAAGUCUCGUCUCGGGCACCACAAGUUGGAGCUGGCCCUCGGGACCUCAGUGACCGAGCUGGAGAGUAAACUUGGAUGAGGUCCGAGAUGUAUUUGGGGGGCCAGCCCAUUCAACGCCUUAAAAACAAACAAUAAAAUCUUAAAAUCAAUCCUAAAACGAACAGGCAACCAAUGAAGGGAGGCCAGAAUUGGGGUGAUGUGCUCCCCCUUUUUGGUUCCUGUUAAAAGCCGUGCCGCAGAGUUCCGGACUAACUGUAAGCGGGAGAGAGACUUUUGGCUAAUUCCAGAUUAAAGUGCAUUACAGUAGUCCAGACGUGAUGAAAUAAAAGCGUGCAUGACUUGCUCAAAGUGUUGCAAAGAUAAAAAAGAUUUAAUUUUAGAUAAAAUACAGACUCAUCACAUGGGUAAACACCUGUCAUGCAUUUUUACAAUUAGCAUUCUAACAAUGAGGGGGCUGGGCAAAGGGUCAGAAAUCCACACACAAACACAUAAUUCCCUUCUCCAAGCUAUGGAAGAUGCAUGUGGAGACAUUCCAGCGGAUGCUUUUCCAUGGCUGGAUUCGCCAUGCUAGGCGAUAUUCCCAGAGAAAACCUUGCAUACGAUGUACGUAGAUGAGACGCUGUGGCCUGACCCAAACAGAAGACGUUAUGCAGUAUAGUCUUUUGCUUUGUUAUUGAUUGAUUUUUUUGUUGAUGAUUAUUGUAGGAGCUAUUUAUUAGUGUGUUUCUGAUAUCUGUUGAUUUAUUUUUUGUUGUUGUUGUUUUGUUUGGAUUACUUGAUAAGAUUUUCUUGUUAGUUAUUUAUUUAUUAUUUAUAUUUUGUUGGGGUUAAUUAGUGGUUGGUUUCUGGGUUCGUUUCAUUGGAUGGCACCCUGGGCGCCUGCAGUGUAUUUGGGUAGGCGGUGCUCGCAGGGCCAGCAUGCACCGCCUACGGUGGGCCUAUGGUUUUUGUACCAGCGCAAGAGAGGCGACAGGAAAAGGCCCUUGUUCCUUUUUUGUUUGUUUGCUUGCUUGGUAAUAAAAGGAAAGACGAAGAAACGGAACAAGAUUGUUUGGACAAUGACUCUUUUGCCUGCGUAAAACAAAACCCAUGGUGCAUCAGUGGCCUUUUGAUUAUAGCAUAAGUUACGUUUAUUAUUUUAGUGAAGGACAAAUAGCCACUACAAUUAUUAUUAUUAUUUCUUGAACUGAAGCUGUAUACGUUUAGAUGCAGAACACUGUAUGUGGAACUUUGUGUUGGCUGUGAUGUUUUUCUGUGAAAAAUUAAAAAAAAAAAAAUUCUGUGUAAAUUUUGUGUUCUGAGUCAAAAAAUACCCCAAAAAACAAUUCUAAAACAUUUUGCAAGAAGUGUCACACUGAACACAAAAAGACCCGAGUCAUGAUGAAUAUGAUGUAAUCCCAGUGUUUUACACUGAGCACAUCAUGAGUUCUGAGAAUAUGAGGCAUCCUUUCACAAAAUGUGUGUAAACAAUCGAGAAAAACUGUAAGUGAAUUUCCGAAGUCACAUUUUAAAACAAUUUGGAGUGCUCCAAAACUCUGCUGAAUCGCGAAUAUGCAGAGUUCUGCUAUAAAUAUACCUGUGAUUUGUUCCGGAUCGUGACCAGCAUCAGGACUAAGUGUUGGUUCAGUUUCUUCCUGAUAGUUACUUCCGCAUACCGAUCAACAGCGGACAUUUUCCAGGCAAAUUAAAGAAAACUGGAUAAAACAAUUCCAGUACAAAUGACACAUGAAUGUUCUCAUGUAAUCGUUUAGCAUAUUCACACAUUUGAAUAAUCGCUUUUAAUUUAAUUAAUUUUAGGUAGGAUUUUUUUUUUUUUUACUUCCGAUACUUUUCCAAUAUUGAAUCCUUGACAUAUCAUUCAGAUCCAAUAUCUGCACUUUACUUUUUUGUAGUGUGGAACCAUUGAUUUACGCUUCAAUGUUGGAUUCCGGGAAAAGCACUGCUAUAUCAUAGAGUGCAGGACGUUAAAAUCCAAUAUUUCUUGUUGAUAUCGGGCUGGUAGCCAAUAGCCAUAACCUUCAAAUUAUUACAAAUUUUAAUUAAACAAAUUAAUCGUGAUUAAUCAGCAUUCGCAACUAUGCCUGAAAUAUGACCUUACAGUUCCGAAUAAACUGAAAAUUUGUAAUUAAGAAAUAGUAAUGAAAUUAAUCACAGAUUAAUCAUGAUUAAUCAGCAAUUCCACAUAUGUUCCGAAUAAACUGAAAAUUUGUCAUAAAAAAAUUGGAAUGACACAUGAAUGCUAAAAUGUUGACCAGAAAUGUAGAGAUAUCCUACAAUAGUGUGGAAAUGUAUUCGACAACUGAUUGAACCAGCAACCGUUCCGUUGGGAAACGAGCACUCUACGACCUGAGCCAUGCCAUGAAGAAGCAGCAUGUUACAUAUAAUGUUAAAUGAUAAAUUAAUUGCAUUUUCAAAAGGGAAAAAUGUCACAGAAAAUAUUAAAUUAUGGAAAAUGUCGGCCAUUUUUAGAAAAGUAGCUUCCUGAAUGAGUUGAGCAUUGCGAUGUUGGAAUUGUUUCAAGUCGACUGAAAAAUGUACGAGUAGUUAGUAGCUAAAAAUGGCAGAAUUUGAAAUGCUGGAAUGUAAAAAUUAAACUCAAUUAUUCAAAUGUGUGAAUAUGCUAAACGAUUACAUGAGAACAGAGGAGUG